AAAAACAUCCUCACAAACACGUCGCUGCCCUCUGCCCUCUCGCGACCACGCCGUCGGGGCAGUUUUGGCCACUGCCCCACACCUCGCCCCACCUCUUCCCCAGAUCCUUCCCGCCAGCCAUCGCCCUCGACCUGUGCCUCCGUCUGCACGUGCCGCCGGACCGCCGCGCCCACGCUCUAGGCGCUCGGGCCACCCCAUCCACGCACCGCCCGGGCGGCCACGCCCACUCGCCGCACACAGGCGCCGAACCUCCAUGCUGCAUGUGCUUUACCCUCAGAUUCUUCCUGGUUGCAGUGAUAAUUUUUGGUUUAACUGUACGCAUGUUCAAUACCACUUCCUGGUGCUAGAUGUAUUGGAGACGGCAGGCAGCGGCAGCAGGAGGAAGAGGACUGGGGCGACGGGCUCAGAUGUGCACUUCUCUGAAAGUCCAGGCAGCCGGCAGUCGGCAGCCAAGACCCAAGACGAUGGGCUAGGUGCUUCAUCUCCUGCCCCGCGCAGCUUUGCCUCCAACAUGUGGCCUAUUAGCUCUUGACUUGUUUUCCGACUCAAGUCUGCAAGUGUUCUUAUCCAAUUCCGCAUGUGUUUCUGUUCUCUUUUGUUGAUUAGAUUACUCUUUUGUGUCACAACCCUAUUUUGCGUGUUUAAGUUAUGCCAUAUGUGAUCAUGAAUUCAUGAUUGUAGAGACUACAGAGGAAUUCCAGAUUGCUUUUUUAGGAAAUUAAACCGUAGGGCAUUCACGUGUGAGUACAGUGACAUAAUAAAACUGUCAAAAUUGUACAACAACAAUGCAUCAUAUGAAUGAACACUUUGUAUUUGCAUUUUGCUGUAACUAGAAGUUCAGUAACUAAAAGGUAAACCCACAAUUGACAUGCCGUUGCUUUAGUUGGCCAAAAGAGACAUGUUUCUGAAAAUACAUUCAUCAAGCUCUUUAUUGCCUAUAAAUACCACCUGUAAGUAUUCCAUCUUCAUUUCAUAAAUUCACUAUUUGGACCAUUAAGCACGGACAAGAAUCAAUUCGGAAUAUGGACCUUUAAGCACAAACAUAAAUUAUGUGUGCCAAUCGCAUAUUUUUCUAGUACUGGAUUGACCUCUAUGGCCUGACAUCUGCAAAUACAGCUCAAACACACGAAUGAGUUGAUGCUGCCUCAUCCCACGUUGGUGCAGUCUACUCUUUGGUUGGUAUCGAGCUACAGUUCCGAUGACUUGCAGCUCAGGUCGGGAAAAGGCGCGGGUAGUGCACACACUAUCGUUUGUUGCUGGGAUCAACACGCUGCUGUAGUGAAUUUAUGGCUUCUAUCUCGCAUGGAUGCCUAGGUGGCUGUUGCUGUCGCCUUCAUGCCCAUGAGAGCUGGUUUGUCACCGAGGUCGCCAGGCAGGAGUGUCCUUUUCUGCUUCGAGCUGCUUUGACCGGUGGCACACUUCAGGGACCAUGCUCUCACCAUGGACAACACAGUCGUGGGACUCGUGGUCGCUGGCGGAAAGGUGGAGCAAGAGGUCUCUGAAGCUGCAGCAGAACGAGUCUGUAGAGACGACGUUGAAUUUUAUCAAGGUUUUUUCAUUUGUUUUGAACCAUCCAGGAGAGACAAGGUUGCUUCAUUUGCAAGCUCAAAACUCUUUAUGAUUGUAUUCUACUUCUCUACCCAGUUCAUUGAACCUAUGCAAUUGGUUGUCGGUGUUUGAUCCCAUUAGUAGUAUGAUCAAUUUUGUUUCGAGACAUGCAGUCCCCAAAUCAAACACUCCCCACGAUCCGAUGAAUGGGAGAGGGAAGCUGAGGCAAUGGCUGUGCCACUGUAGACAAACAGUUUAACACUGAGGUAUUAU
rnacentral:rRNA from 1 species